GUAUAAUGGGUCAGCGACUUAUAUUCUGUAGCAAGGUUAACCGAAUAGGGGAGCCGGAGGGAAACCGAGUCUUAAUUGGGCGUUAAGUUGCAGGGUAUAGACCCGAAACCCGGUGAUCUAGCCAUGGGCAGGUUGAAGGUUGGGUAACACUAACUGGAGGACCGAACCGACUAAUGUUGAAAAAUUAGCGGAUGACCUGUGGCUGGGGGUGAAAGGCCAAUCAAACCGGGAGAUAGCUGGUUCUCCCCGAAAGCUAUUUAGGUAGCGCCUCGUGAAUUCAUCUCCGGGGGUAGAGCACUGUUUCGGCUAGGGGGCCAUCCCGGCUUACCAACCCGAUGCAAACUGCGAAUACCGGAGAAUGUUAUCACGGGAGACACACGGCGGGUGCUAACGUCCGUCGUGAAGAGGGAAACAACCCAGACCGCCAGCUAAGGUCCCAAAGUCAUGGUUAAGUGGGAAACGAUGUGGGAAGGCCCAGACAGCCAGGAUGUUGGCUUAGAAGCAGCCAUCAUUUAAAGAAAGCGUAAUAGCUCACUGGUCGAGUCGGCCUGCGCGGAAGAUGUAACGGGGCUAAACCAUGCACCGAAGCUGCGGCAGCGACGCUGAUGCGUUGUUGGGUAGGGGAGCGUUCUGUAAGCCUGCGAAGGUGGCCUGUGAGGGUUGCUGGAGGUAUCAGAAGUGCGAAUGCUGACAUAAGUAACGAUAAAGCGGGUGAAAAGCCCGCUCGCCGGAAGACCAAGGGUUCCUGUCCAACGUUAAUCGGGGCAGGGUGAGUCGACCCCUAAGGCGAGGCCGAAAGGCGUAGUCGAUGGGAAACGGGUUAAUAUUCCCGUACUUGGUGUUACUGCGAAGGGGGGACGGAGAAGGCUAUGUUGGCCGGGCGACGGUUGUCCCGGUUUAAGCGUGUAGGUGUGUGUUCCAGGUAAAUCCGGUUCACUUUAACACUGAGGCGUGAUGACGAGGCACUACGGUGCUGAAGCAACAAAUGCCCUGCUUCCAGGAAAAGCCUCUAAGCAUCAGGUAACAUCAAAUCGUACCCCAAACCGACACAGGUGGUCAGGUAGAGAAUACCAAGGCGCUUGAGAGAACUCGGGUGAAGGAACUAGGCAAAAUGGUGCCGUAACUUCGGGAGAAGGCACGCUGACACGUAGGUGAAGUGAUUUACUCACGGAGCUGAAGUCAGUCGAAGAUACCAGCUGGCUGCAACUGUUUAUUAAAAACACAGCACUGUGCAAACACGAAAGUGGACGUAUACGGUGUGACGCCUGCCCGGUGCCGGAAGGUUAAUUGAUGGGGUCAGCGCAAGCGAAGCUCCUGAUCGAAGCCCCGGUAAACGGCGGCCGUAACUAUAACGGUCCUAAGGUAGCGAAAUUCCUUGUCGGGUAAGUUCCGACCUGCACGAAUGGCGUAAUGAUGGCCAGGCUGUCUCCACCCGAGACUCAGUGAAAUUGAACUCGCUGUGAAGAUGCAGUGUACCCGCGGCAAGACGGAAAGACCCCGUGAACCUUUACUAUAGCUUGACACUGAACAUUGAGCCUUGAUGUGUAGGAUAGGUGGGAGGCUUUGAAGCGUGGACGCCAGUCUGCGUGGAGCCGACCUUGAAAUACCACCCUUUAAUGUUUGAUGUUCUAACGUGGACCCGUUACCCGGGUUGCGGACAGUGUCUGGUGGGUAGUUUGACUGGGGCGGUCUCCUCCUAAAGAGUAACGGAGGAGCACGAAGGUUGGCUAAUCCUGGUCGGACAUCAGGAGGUUAGUGCAAUGGCAUAAGCCAGCUUGACUGCGAGCGUGACGGCGCGAGCAGGUGCGAAAGCAGGUCAUAGUGAUCCGGUGGUUCUGAAUGGAAGGGCCAUCGCUCAACGGAUAAAAGGUACUCCGGGGAUAACAGGCUGAUACCGCCCAAGAGUUCAUAUCGACGGCGGUGUUUGGCACCUCGAUGUCGGCUCAUCACAUCCUGGGGCUGAAGUAGGUCCCAAGGGUAUGGCUGUUCGCCAUUUAAAGUGGUACGCGAGCUGGGUUUAGAACGUCGUGAGACAGUUCGGUCCCUAUCUGCCGUGGGCGCUGGAGAACUGAGGGGGGCUGCUCCUAGUACGAGAGGACCGGAGUGGACGCAUCACUGGUGUUCGGGUUGUCAUGCCAAUGGCACUGCCCGGUAGCUAAAUGCGGAAGAGAUAAGUGCUGAAAGCAUCUAAGCACGAAACUUGCCCCGAGAUGAGUUCUCCCUGAGACUUAGAGUCUCCUGAAGGAACGUUGAAGACGACGACGUUGAUAGGCCGGGUGUGUAAGCGCAGCGAUGCGUUGAGCUAACCGGUACUAAUGAACCGUGAGGCUUAACCUUACAACGCCGAAG
rnacentral:rRNA from 1 species